rnacentral:rRNA from 1 species
UACGGGGGGAGCAAGCGUUGUUCGGAUUUACUGGGCGUAAAGGGCGCGUAGGCGGCGUGACAAGUCACUUGUGAAAUCUCCGGGCUUAACUCGGAGCGGCCAAGUGAUACUGUCGUGCUAGAGUGCGGGAAGGGGCUACUGGAAUUCUCGGUGUAGCGGUGAAAUGCGUAGAUAUCGAGAGGAACACCUGCGGCGAAGGCGGGUAGCUGGGCCGACACUGACGCUGAGGCGCGAAAGCUAGGGGAGCGAACGGG